GACGAACGCUGGCGGCGUGCUUAACACAUGCAAGUCGAACGGAAAGGCCCUUCGGGGUACUCGAGUGGCGAACGGGUGAGUAACACGUGGGUAACCUGCCCUCAGCUUCGGGAUAACUCCGGGAAACCGGGGCUAAUACCGGAUAUUCAUUGUCUGCCGCAUGGUGGGUGGUGGCACGUUUUUUCGGCUGGGGAUGGGCCCGCGGCCUAUCAGCUUGUUGGUGGGGUGAUGGCCUACCAAGGCGUCGACGGGUAGCCGGCCUGAGAGGGCGACCGGCCACACUGGGACUGAGACACGGCCCAGACUCCUACGGGAGGCAGCAGUGGGGAAUAUUGCGCAAUGGGCGGAAGCCUGACGCAGCGACGCCGCGUGAGGGAUGACGGCCUUCGGGUUGUAAACCUCUUUCAGCAGGGACGAAUGUAGACGGUACCUGUAGAAGAAGCACCGGCCAACUACGUGCCAGCAGCCGCCGUAACAC
rnacentral:rRNA from 1 species